CAACACCAAAGGACAAGGCCUUAUCUUAGCACUCGAUGCAGAGAAAGCCUUUGACAGGCUCAAUUGGGACUAUAUUCAACAAGUUUUAAGCACGUUCGGCUUUACGACACCAAUAAUUUCUGGUAUUAUGGCCCUAAACAAUACCCCGACAGCACAAGUCUCUAAUGCAGGCUUCCUCUCCACCCCAUUCAAUAUAACCAACGGCACAAGACAGGGAUGCCCCUUAUCCUCGCUACUGUUCAUCCUCUCUCUCUAGAACCGCUAGCACACAUAAUUAGACGCCAGCCCCAAAUCAAGGGCAUUAGAAUAGGCUGGUCUGAUCACAAACUAUCCAUGUUUGCAGACAAUAUCCUCUUAACACUGAGAGACGUGCCCUCAUCACUACCCGCCCUGAUACAAAUCUUAGAAAAAUAUGGCAACCUAACAUACUAUAAACUAAACCAAACAAAAACACAAGCACUACCUAUAGGUCUCCCCAAAGAUUUCGUUCAAACACUCACAAGCAUAUAUGAUUUUGACUGGAGAUCAGACUACAUCACCUAUCUCGGGGUCAAAAUUGCACCCACAACUGACUAAUUAUUCCAAUACAAUUAUAAACCGCUCCUAAGCCUAUGUAAAUCGGAGUGCCAAUGCUGGAAACCAGUUAAACUAUCAUGGUUAGGCAGAAUCAAUACUGUCAAAAUGGUCCUCCUCCCUAAACUAUUGUACAUUUUCCACCUCCUACAUAUACGGGUCCCACCAAAAAAUUUCAAAUCACUCCAACAAGUGCUGUCCUCCUACAUAUGGGACACCCGCAAACCCAGAAUCUCCCAAUGCUUCCUCCAAAAUCACCAAGUGGAUGGAGGAGUUAGCUUACCAGAUAUACAGG